UCAGAUCUUGUACUUGAGUAAAUGUAGAAGUACUCAGAUAUUGUAGUAAAAGUAGAAGUACUCUAUCUGGUACUUGAGUAAAAGUACUCAGAUAUUGUACUGGAGUAAAAGUAGAAGUACUCAGAUCUUGUACUUGAGUAAAAGUAGAAUUAUUCAGAUCUUGUGCUUGAGUACAAGUAAAGAUAGCAUCAGGAUGCAGGGAGUUAACAACGGCAAUAUUCCUGUGGUUCGUUUCCCCGUGCAUUCGCAGAGCAUGGUGCACGUGCACCUGAUUGCCCUCCCCUCCCCCACUCUUACUAAGCUGUGCUGUGAGUUCAGAAACAGGACAGAGCAGUGAUGCAGUGACGCAUCCUAAAACCCGGAAGUAAGCAACGUGAUUUCUCCUCCAUAGGAUUUUGGAUAUUUAUGCACUGUAUUCAUGUGCAAUGCCUAAAUUAGUGAAGUUUACACAGGCACGUGGGGGGGGGGGGGGCAGCUCGGGGGAUGAGAGGAGUGCAUGCAGACACGUGAUGUAAAGUCUUGCUUUUACGUAAAUUGAAGAACUGAAGUAAAGAUCGUCUUGUUUUUUAAACGUAUGCACGCCUGGAAAUCCCUCUUGUGUCCACGUGUGCAACAAAUAUUGGAGGCACUGCUGAGAUAUUAAUGUUUCGCCGUGUCUGUGUGUGACACCAACUCGGACGGAGUUUUCCCCUGACGGGAGCGAGCAGGGCUGGAGCACCGGACGCGCACAGCAGGUUGCAACUGGAUCAGCUCAAAGAGGUGAGAUGGCUGACAAUUAAGAAAACAGAGUUCAGUGAGGAAGAGACGACUUGGUCUUCAACAGGAUGCCAGGAUCACAUUUUUAACACACCGUUUAAAGUUCCAGGUGACAAACGGGCAUACUAAUCCAGAGGGAGUUGAGGAGGAGAGGCUCCCCUUAGACUUGACUUUCCCCGAAACAUCAACAAGUGACUGUGCUACGACCGAGUUCCAGGUGACAAACGGGCAGACUAAUCCAGAGGGAGUUGAGGAGGAGAGGCUCCCCUUAGACUUGACUUUCCCCGAAACAUCAACAAGUGACUGUGCUACUACCGAGUUCCAGGUGACAAACGGGCAGACUAAUCCAGGGAGGGAGUUGAGGACGAGACGCUCUCCUUGGAACUUUAUGUCUACAUAAGCAUCAAACAGUGACUGUGCUACUACCGAGGGAAACAAACGUUUGUGAAACGCAGCUGGACGUCAGCAGAAAGUGCUGCUGUGGAACAACACUUGGGUUAUGAAAUGGACAAUCAAGAACCAGGUUCCAGGAAAAGAUGCAUGUGAGGAUUGUAUCCCUGCCGAACCUCAAGCCCUAACAAAUAGGGACUGGGGAGCCAUUAAGUAUUACAUGAACAUUUCAAUUUCUUCUCUCCGAAUGUAAAUGAAAUAAAAUUGAACCAAGGAAAAAUACGUUCAAUGUUGAAAGAAGGAUUUCAAGUACCACUACCAAAACUAGGGGCUUUACCUAAACCAAACCAAAUUUUCAUUUUUGAAUCGUCAACUAAUAUAAAUUAAAGGGAAAUCAAUUGCAUUCCGAUUAUGCUGCUAGAAAGAAUCAUCCAUGUUUUCAAAGAUUUCCUUUUUUGCUUUUAGGGUUUUCCCUCUCAUGUAGUGUAGAAAAUAUCUUUUUGUGCAUGUAAAUGUUUUUCAAAGUCUAAAAUCCCUCAUUGAAGCAUGGAAACAUUUCACAGGAGAGAAACUUUAUACAAAUUUGAACCUCAAAAUGACCAGAAUAUGUCAUUGUUAAAUGUAACUCAAAAGGAGGUAAAAGUCUACUGAUUUGUUAGGCCUGUUUGUUUUGUUUUUUGGGUCAUGGGAUUGGUCAAGUUGUACAUUUUGUUUUAACGAUAUAGAAACACCCCAAUAAUAUACAAAUAAAUAUUUAUAGCAUUAAAAUAAUGUUGUAGAGAGUUUAUAUGAAUUAUACUUUUUUCUCAAGAAUUACUAAUUGUUGCCUCUAAGAAAAAACAAUGUUGAACGAAAAGGAUCUUUAGGGGAUUAUUGAUUUGGUCUCCAUGGUGUUUCAAUGUUACUGCCAUGUCUACUGUCUAGUUAUAUUCUAUGUUAAGAUGAGGCUAAUCACCUAAGUAAUGACUUAUUUUACCAGCAAUGUGAAUUUGUUGGUGUAAAAAAUAUCAGAGUAGAAUGUAAAUGUUCAUGAUGCUGUUCUGCAGUUUCUUUGGUAACAAGGAAAGUCCAUUCAACUCAAUAAUGUCUCUAGUAACUCUGAUCCCUUCCAAGAUAUGAAAACUAGAAAUAUGUGUGUGUCUGAUCCCUUCCAAGAUAUGAAA